rnacentral:lncRNA from 1 species
GUUUCAGGUUGCUUUCCAACAACUUGUAUACAGCCCGGUACACAGAUACACAGAAAGUACCAUAUGGAGACACACAGAAACUUGUCUUCUCUUGGAGGUCCAAGACAGUUUUAGAGCCAAAACAUAUGCUACAAAAGUUUUGUUCUAUCAAGCCUGAAACUUUGAAUGUUAGCAUCCAUGAUCACAGCUGCCUGUUCUACAAUAUCUGACAUAUUUGCAUUACUGGUAUUUUCCAUACUGUUGUCUGUUUCUCCUCUGUAAAUUACGUGACAGUUGAUAAUCUCAUCGCCUUUAGUCUUUCCAUUAAGUACUGCAAGAGAAAUAUGCCUAUCAAAUCUAUCACACAUCUGCUCAUAUCUUCCUUCUGUACAAAAUUCUUGGCUGUGUCAUACAUAGUAAUACCUAAUAAAUAUUUGUUCGAUGGAUGAAUAUUUCCCAAAGGCUUGCAGCAGAGAUUCUAAAACUUUGGGAGACAGAAAUAAGUGACUCAUCCCCCAUAAGAAUAAAUCGGUGGGAGGAGGUGGCAGUAUGUAAUACAAAAAAAAAAAAAAAAAUUUACAUGUUCAAUAGAUCUAUUAUUUUUCUAAUGCAAACUACUAAAAUACAACUUGUUUUGCCUAGUAGAUAUGUGUAGAAAAUUGACUAAAAACAAAUAUUAGAGGGAAUACAAUUUUUAAAAGGUUGAGAAAUAUUGGUUUGAAGUUAAAAAUUUUAAACUUUUUUUGUUUGUUUGGCAUCGGAAUCCUUCAUUGUGACCCUUGUGAGUGAUCCAGGCUCACCUCCACUCACUCCACAUGUGGAUACUGCCCCCUUCUUCUCCUCAUAACCAGAAGCAUUAUGACCUUCCUGGAAUAUACAGUGCCUCUAACACUUCCAUUAUGAAGCCUCUCCUAACUCCCACAAUUUUAACAGCACUAUCUCCUAGUCUCUCCUCUUAACAUGGCCAAAAAUAGUCAAUUCAAUUAUUUCCAGAGUAUGUUUGUCUUGACAUUAAUUAAACUAGUGCCAAAGAUUAUAAUACUAAUUGUGAAACUAAUUUAAAGAAUUUAACAGACCUUAGCAUUACACACUAAAUAAGAUAUUGGUGAUUUUAAAGAAGUAUUGAAAGUGACUUUAAAUAGUUGUAUAGGCUAAAUUUUCCAUGGCAAAUGUGUCAAGUUGAACUCACUUUGAAUAUUAUUUAUAUGAUAUAUAAUGAAAAUAGAUAUGUGAUCAAUAGAAUAUCCUGAAAUAUUCAUGAGUUAUUUUCAUCCAAUUGUUUCAGACACUGAUAAUUUUUUAAAGUGGAAUUUCAGUUAGUAAUCUUAGUUGUUUUGAAAAUAGAUUAAAUUUUAAUUUAAUAUGUGAAUUUAAAACUAAAUAUAUUUUUGCUAAUCAAAUAUAUUUAAGAUAAAAUUUUAAUAAAUAUCACAUCUUAAACUACUAUUAGGAUAUUUAAAAUGUACUACCUAUAUUUGCUGAUAUUUCUUCUCUACUUGAAUCUUAGUUGACCCUUCUCACCUCUUAAUUUGGCAAAUAAUAUCUUCCCAAGAAGAUUGGUCUUACAGAGCAGUAAAAAGAGCUUUUAAAUAAAAGUUUAAUGAAACCCAGUUUCGGCAACAAUGCUGUAUUAGUUCGUUCUCACACUGCUAUGAAGAAAUACUCAAGACUGCGUAAUUUAUAAAGAAAAGUUUAAUUGACUCACAGUUCUGCAUGGCUGGGGAGCCCUCAGGAAACUUACAAUCAUGGCAGAAGGCACGUCUUCACAGGGCAGCAGGAGAAAGAAUGAGUACCAGCAGGGGAAAUGCCAGAUGCUUACAAAACCGUCAGAUCUUGUGAGAACUCACUUACUAUCUGGAGAACACCAUGGGAGAAAAUGCCCCCAUGAUCUAAUUACCUUCACCUCGUCCUGCCCUUGACACAUGGGGCUUAUGAGGAUUACAAUUCAAGGGGAGAUCUGGAUGAGAACACAGAACCAAACCAUAUCAGAUGCCCCAAAACAAACUUUUGUGUACUUCUUGCUGAAGAAAUGCAAAGCUUGACCACUUCUGACCACCUUGACUGCUACCUACCCGGUCCAGGCCAAUGCCUUCUAUUAUCUUAUCAUUGCAAUAGCCUCCUAACUAGUCUCCUUGCUGCUGCUCUGUACUCUACAGUGGAAGAUCCAGAACAGAUAAAGUCAUCCUUUUAGGACUUCAAUCAGAUCAUGCUGCUCCUCUGUUCAAAACCCUUCAAUGAGAUCCCUUCUUCACUGCAGUAAAGCUGAACUCAAAGUCCUUACAAUGGCCCACAACACCAUUUGUUGGACUCAAGAUGUCUCUAACCAUAGCUCCUACUAAUAUUUUCUCUAUCUUCCCUGCUUCAGCCUUGUGGACCUCUCUGCAUUUGUCUGAACAUACCAGAGACACUUCUGUCUCAGCAGGACCUUUGUACUGGCUAUUCCCUUUAUUUGGGAUUCUCUUGUCCCCUGAACUCAUAUGGUUCAUUCCUCCCCUCCUUAAGUGGGAGCUUAAAGGAUAGAGUUCAACGAGGCCUUCCUGGCCACUUUAUUUAGAAUUGCAACUUUCUAUACCAUUGAUCCUUA